rnacentral:lncRNA from 1 species
GAUGGUUUAUUGGCUUAAAUGUCAAAACACAAACUAGAAAACUACCAGGGAACAGAAAAGGGGGCAAAUUUUAUGAUUUUGCACUGAAUAAGACUUUCUUAAAUAAGAAAGAAUUAAUACAAAUCAUAAACAGAAAGAGUGAUCAAUUUGACAAUAACAAAUAUCAAAAUAAAAAAUCUGUUGCUUGUUCUCAUAUCUGUGUAAUAGAGGAAAGGGGAAUAUUCACUGGAAAAUGAUAUCAUCACCUGGAACAUCAACAGUUUGUUUAUGAAUAAUGAUCCGCAUGCAAUUAGAAAAUCCACACUCACACACACACAAUCGUAUACACUGAAAAUAGAAGCGAGGCAUGGAAAUAUGACUAGAGAAAAAAAUGAAUAGGCAAUUAGAACAUAUCCAAAGACAAUCAAGUUAGAAUAGGCAAAGAUGUUAAAAGAUCUCUAAUUAAUAUGCUAAAGAAAAUAGAGGGGGAAACUAACAAAAGAGAGGAAGAGAUGGAGAAUUUUGAUAGUAUUAAAUUGUAAAAUACACAUAAAAUUCUAGAAUUCAAAGUGACAGUACAUGAAAUGAAUAACUAAAAGGAAGGAUUAUCAGAAAAUUGAACACAGACUAACAUAAGUUUUUCAACUGAAAAUAUCUAGGGAGUAGCACAGAGUAUAAAAUAAUCAAAAAUUACAAAACAGUCUUGACAUAUUAUACAUGCUCAAAUUGACUAACAUAUAUAUAGAAAGAAACCUAGAAUGAGAAGGGAGGGGAGGGGAGAAAACAAAACCAAUAUAUGAAGAGACAAUGGGUGACAAUUAUCUGCAACUAAUGGAAAGUAUUAAUCUACACAUUUAAGAAGCUCAGUAAAGUCCGAAAGUUAAAUACAAGAAAAACCAAAUCAGAGAACAUUAUAGUAAAGCUGCAGACAACCAGGGACAAAAAGGAAAAAUCUUCAAAACAGCCAGGUGUUUACAUGUGGGGCAGGGAACACAGGCCUUUGAAGGGAAAACAAUGACAAUGACAGCUAACUUUUAAAAGAUGAAAUUCAGGGCAUUACGGAAUGGCAUUUGCAAUGAAAAUUAUAGAUUAGUUUCAUUCAUGAAUUUAGGUGCAACGAUCCUAAAAUAAAUAUUAGCAAGUAUUUAUGUCAAUAUACCUAAAAAUAUUAUAUCACAAAGACUAAUACCUUGAAAAACAAGAGUGUUAAAGAUAAAUAGUUGAGUAAUUAAAUUUAAAGUGUUUUACGUUGUUUGGAUAUUUAAGUUUCAGAAUAGAGAUAAGGAAUAAAAAUACUAAUUCAAAUUUGCAUAAUAAAAAUUUAUGGUAAAUAUAAAUUAAUCAAAAUAAAGUAAAAUAUUUACAAAUGGGCACAUAGGAAAAAAUUGAAAACUCAUAUAGAAACGCAAGAUAUAAGAGAAUAUGUUUAGAAAGCAUAAAACAAGAUGGUGAAACUUUCAAAUACAUCAGUAAUUUUGAUAAAUGUAAAUAAUAUAUAGCAGUAAAACUCUACGUGAUGUAGUUAUCACAAGUACUAAUAUUGAUGAACCUCAAAAUCAUAAAGUUGAGUGAAAAGGUAGUAUCAGAAAGACACAUACAGAGGCUGGCUGGUGGCGCAGCAGUUAAGUGUGCAUGUUCUGCUUCAGUGGCCCAGGGUUUGCAGUUUCAGAUCCCAGGUGCGGGGGACAUGGCACCGCUUGGCAAGCCAUGCUGUGGUAGGCGUCCCACAUAGAAAGCAGAGGAAGAUGAGCAUGGAUGUUAGCUCAGGGCCAGUCUUCCUCAGCAAAAAGAGGACGAUUGGCAGCAGUUAGCUCAAGGCUAACU